rnacentral:rRNA from 1 species
AGCAGCCGCGGUAAUUCCAGCUCCAAUAGCGUAUAUUAAAGUUGUUGCAGUUAAAAAGCUCGUAGUUGAAUUUCGGGGUUAGUAGGUUGGUCAUGCCUCUGGUAUGUACUGGUCUCACUGAUUCCUCCUUCCUGAUGAGCCGUAAUGCCAUUAAUUUGGUGUUGCGGGGAAUUUGGACUGUUACUUUGAAAAAAUUAGAGUGUUUAUAGCAGGCUCACGCUUGAAUACAUUAGCAUGGAAUAAUGAAAUAGGACGUUUGACCCUAUUUUGUUGGUUUCUAGGAUCGACGUAAUGAUUAAUAGGGAUAGUUGGGGGCAUUAGUAUUCAAUUGUCAGAGGUGAAAUUCUUGGAUUUAUUGAAGACUAACUACUGCGAAAGCAUUUGCCAAGGAUGUUUUCAUUAAUCAAGAACGAAAGUUAGGGGAUCGAAGACGAUCAGAUACCGUCGUAGUCUUAACCAUAAACUAUGCCGACUAGGGAUCGGAUGAUGUUAAUUUUUAAUGACUCAUUCGGCGUACC